rnacentral:rRNA from 1 species
CCUACGGGAGGCAGCAGUGGGGAAUAUUGCGCAAUGGGCGAAAGCCUGACGCAGCGACGCCGCGUGAGGGAUGAAGGUCUUCGGAUCGUUAACCUCUGUCAGCAGGGAAGAACGGUCACUGUGCUAAUCAGCAGUGAAUUGACGGUACCUGCAAAGGAAGCACCGGCUAACUCCGUCCCAGCAGCCGCGGUAAUACGGAGGGUGCGAGCGUUAAUCGGAAUUACUGGGGGUAAAGCGCUCGUAGGCGGGAUGUCAAGUCAAGGGGUAAAGCCCCGCGCCCAACGUGGGAAGAGCCGUUGAAACGGGCAAACUGGAGUGGGAGAGAGGAUAGUGGAAGUCGAGGUGUAGGGGUGAAAUCCGUAGAUAUCUGGAGGAAAAGCGGUGGCGAAGGCGACUAUCCGGCACAUAACUGACGCUGAGGAACGAAAGCGUGGGUAGCGAACAGGAUUAGAUACCCUUGUAGUC